rnacentral:rRNA from 1 species
UGAAUACGAGACGCUAAGGCGUCGAAGUAGUGUAUGUCAUACUUCCAAGAAAAGCUUGCACUGUCAUAGAUAAAAAACGCCUGUACCAUAACCGACACAGGUGGGUAGGUAGAGUAUACUAAGGGGCGCGAGAUAACUCUCUCUAAGGAACUCGGCAAAAUAACUCCGUAACUUCGGGAGAAGGAGUGCCUUAUUCUUAAGGUUGCAAUAACAAGAUCCAAGCAACUGUUUAUCAAAAACACAGGUCUCCGCUAAGUCGUAAGACGAUGUAUGGGGGCUGACGCCUGCCCAGUGCCAGAAGGUUAAAGAAGCUGGUUAGCAUUUGCGAAGCUAGUAACUGAAGCCCUGGUGAACGGCGGCCGUAACAAUAACGGUCCUAAGGUAGCGAAAUUCCUUGUCGGGUAAGUUCCGACCCGCACGAAAGGCGUAAUGAUUUGGAUACUGUCUCGGAGAGGGGCUCGGUGAAAUAGACUUGUCUGUGAAGAUGCGGACUACCUGCACCAGGACAGAAAGACCCUAUGAAGCUUUACUGUAACUUGAAAUUGAAAUUGGACUUUAUUCGCGCAGUAUAGGUGGGAGGCGUUGAUUAUAAUCUUGCGGGAUUAUUGGAGCCAUUAGUGAGAUACCACUCUUGUAAUGUUAGAUUUCUAACUUUGAAUCAUUAUCUGGUCAAAGAACAGUUUCAGGCGGGCAGUUUGACUGGGGCGGUCACCUCCUAAACGGUAACGGAGGCGUACAAAGGUUUCCUCUGAACGGUUAGAAAUCGUAUCUAGAGUGUAAAGGCAUAAGGAAGCUUGACUGUGAGACCUACAAGUCGAGCAGGGACGAAAGUCGGUCUUAGUGAUCUGACGGUACUGAGUGGAAAGGCCGUCACUCAACGGAUAAAAGUUACUCUAAGGAUAACAGGCUGAUCUCCCCCAAGAGUUCACAUCGACGGGGAGGUUUGGCACCUCGAUGUCGGCUCAUCGCAUCCUGGGGCGGUAGUACGUCCCAAGGGUUGGGCUGUUCGCCCAUGAAAGCGGUACGCGAGCUGGGUUCAGAACGUCGUGAGACAGUUCGGUCCAUAUCCGGCGUAGGCGUUAGAAUAUUGAGAGGAGCCUUCUUUAGUACGAGAGGACCGAGAAGGACAUACCUCUGGUGUACCAGUUAUCGUGCCAACGGUAAACGCUGGGUAGCUAUGUAUGGAGUGGAUAACCGCUGAAAGCAUCUAAGUGGGAAGCCCACCUCAAGAUAAGUAUUCUCAU